rnacentral:rRNA from 1 species
CCUACGGGUGGCAGCAGUGAGGAAUAUUGCACAAUGGGGGAAAGCCUGAAGCAGCGAAGCCGCGUGAGGGAAGAAGUAAUUAGGUAUGUAAAGCUCUAUCAGCAGGGGAGAAAAUGACGGUACCUGUGUAAGAAUCCACGGGUAACUACGUGCCAGCAGCCGCAGUAAUACGUAGGGGGCAAGCGUUAACCGGAUUGACUGGGUUUUAAGGGAGCGUAGACGGGAUGGCAAGUCAGUAGUGAAAUGCGGGGGCUCAACGCUCGGACUGCUCUGGAAACUGUACGGCUUGAGUGCAGGAGAGGUAAGUGGAAUUCGUAGUGUAGCGGUGAAAUGCGUAGAUAUUACGAGGAACCCCAGUUGCGAAGGCAGCUUACUGGACUGUAACUGACGUUGAGGCUCGAAAGUGUGGGUAGCAAACAGGAUUAGAUACCCCAGUAGUC